rnacentral:snoRNA from 1 species
AUAAUCAUCAUUUUUACCUGGAAUUUUUUUUUACCUCUCAUAGUGUCUCCUACCAGAACAAACUGUGCUCCCAAACCAUUGCCUGGCCUCUGUGCUUGUAGGCUGUUGGCACUAAAGCAGGUUGCAUGGUG